rnacentral:rRNA from 1 species
GACGAACGCUGGCGGCGUGCUUAACACAUGCAAGUCGAACGGAAAGGCCCUGCUUUUGUGGGGUGCUCGAGUGGCGAACGGGUGAGUAACACGUGAGUAACCUGUCCUUGACUUUGGGAUAACUUCAGGAAACUGGGGCUAAUACCGGAUAGGAGCUCCUGCUGCAUGGUGGGGGUUGGAAAGUUUCGGCGGUUGGGGAUGGACUCGCGGCCUAUCAGCUUGUUGGUGGGGUAGUGGCUUACCAAGGCUUUGACCGGUAGCCGGCCUGCGAGGGUGACCGGCCACGUUGGGACUGAGAUGCGGCCCAGACUCCUACGGGAGGCAGCGGUGGGGAAUAGUGCACAAUGGGCGGAAGCCAGAUGCAACAACGCCGCGUGCGGGAUGACGGCCUUCGGGUUGUGAACCGCUUUCGCCUGUGACGAGGCGUGAGUGACGGUAAUGGGUAAAGAAGCACCGGCUAACUACGUG